UGACUGCUAUCGGAUUGAUACUAAGCCAUGCGAGUCAUUGUAGUAAUACAAGGCAGACGGCUCAGUAACGCGUAGUCAACCUAACCUAUGGACGGGAAUAACCUCGGGAAACUGAGUAUAAUGCCCGAUAGAACAUUAUGCCUGGAAUGGUUUAUGUUCCAAAUGAUUUAUCGCCGUAGGAUGGGACUGCGGCCUAUCAGUUUGUUGGUGAGGUAAUGGCCCACCAAGACUAUUACAGGUACGGGCUCUGAGAGGAGUAGCCCGGAGAUGGGUACUGAGACACGGACCCAGGCCCUAUGGGGCGCAGCAGGCGAGAAAACUUUGCAAUGUGCGAAAGCACGACAAGGUUAAUCCGAGUGGUUUCUGCUAAAGGAACCUUUUGUCGGUCCUAGAAACACCGAUGAAUAAGGGGUGGGCAAGUUCUGGUGUCAGCCGCCGCGGUAAAACCAGCACCUCAAGUGGUCAGGAUGAUUAUUGGGCCUAAAGCAUCCGUAGCCGGCUCUAUAAGUUUUCGGUUAAAUCUGUACGCUCAACGUACAGGCUGCCGGGAAUACUGUAGAGCUAGGGAGUGGGAGAGGUAGACGGUACUCGGUAGGAAGGGGUAAAAUCCUUUGAUCUAUUGAUGACCACCUGUGGCGAAGGCGGUCUACCAGAACACCGUCCCG
rnacentral:rRNA from 1 species